AGAGUUUGAUCAUGGCUCAGAUUGAACGCUGGCGGCAUGCUUUACACAUGCAAGUCGAACGGUAACGCGGGGGCAACCCUGGCGACGAGUGGCGAACGGGUGAGUAAUACAUCGGAACAUGUCCUGGAGUGGGGGGAUAGCUCGGCGAAAGCCGGAUUAAUACCGCAUACGCUCUGAGGAGGAAAGCGGGGGACCCGGUAACGGGCCUCGCGCUGCAGGAGUGGCCGAUGUCGGAUUAGCUAGUUGGUGAGGUAAAGGCUCACCAAGGCGACGAUCCGUAGCUGGUCUGAGAGGAUGAUCAGCCACACUGGGACUGAGACACGGCCCAGACUCCUACGGGAGGCAGCAGCGGGGAAUUUUGGACAAUGGGGGCAACCCUGAUCCAGCCAUGCCGCGUGAGUGAAGAAGGCCUUCGGGUUGUAAAGCUCUUUCGGACGGAACGAAAUGGUUACAGUGAAUAACUGUGAUUGAUGACGGUACCGUAAGAAGAAGCACCGGCUAACUACGUGCCAGCAGCCGCGGUAAUACGUAGGGUGCGAGCGUUAAUCGGAAUUACUGGGCGUAAAGCGUGCGCAGGCGGUUCGCCAAGUCAGGUGUGAAAUCCCCGGGCUUAACCUGGGAAUUGCGCUUGAAACUAGCGGGCUUGAGUGUGGCAGAGGGGGGUGGAAUUCCACGUGUAGCAGUGAAAUGCGUAGAGAUGUGGAGGAACACCGAUGGCGAAGGCAGCCCCCUGGGUCAACACUGACGCUCAUGCACGAAAGCGUGGGGAGCAAACAGGAUUAGAUACCCUAGUAGUCC
rnacentral:rRNA from 1 species